CUGGAAGAGUUAGAGAUAACUGCACGACCCAUGAUGGUUCUGCAUGAUCAACAUGAGACAUCUGAAAUGUUUACUCCAAAAAUCUGGAGCCACCAGGGGCCAGUGUCUCUCUGAACAGCAGCAUGAUUAGAGCGGAAGUGGCGGUGUUCUUUCUAAAGGCGGGAUCAGGAAGCAGCGCUGUGGGAGUUAUUUUGGGCGCAUUGAACAUUGACUCUGAACAGCACGGCGUUUGCGGAUGAGGAUUGAAAUUUCUCCAUGAUAGUGUCCAGGAAGUCAACUUGAAAUCCCGCAACGCUCUCUAAUACAAAU